UUGAGAGAAUUUUCAGCUUAGAUACAGAUUAACAGAAUUUGCCUGGCGGCUUUAGCGCGGUGGUCCCACCUGACCCCAUGCCGAACUCAGAAGUGAAACGCCGUAGCGCCGAUGGUAGUGUGGGGUCUCCCCAUGUGAGAGUAGGGAACUGCCAGGC
rnacentral:rRNA from 1 species